CCACGUCCCAUACAGCCACAUCCCAUAGAGCCACGUCCCUCAUCCCAUAUAGCCACGUCCCAUAUCCCAUAGAGCCACAUCCCAUAGAGCCACGUCCCUCAUCCCAUAGAGCCACAUCCCACAUCCCAUAUAGCCACAUCCCAUAGAGCCACAUCCCAUAGAGCCACGUCCCAUAGAGCCAUGUCCCACAUCCCAUAUCCCAUAGAGCCACAUCCCACGUCCCACAUCCCGUAUCCCACAUCCCAUAUACCCACAUCCUAUAUCCCGUAUACCCACGUCCCACAUCCCAUAUCCCACAUCCCAUACCCACAUCCCACAUCCCAUAUCCCACAUCCCAUAUCCCACAUCCCGCAUCCCAUAUCCCACAUCCCAUAUCCCACAUCCCAUAUCCCACAUCCCACAUCCCACAUCCCACAUCCCAUACCCACAUCCCAUAUCCCACAUCCCAUAUCCCAUAUCCCACAUCCCACAUCCCACAUCCCAUAUCCCAAAUCCCAUAUACCCAUAUCCCAAAUCCCACAUACCCACAUCCCAUAUCUCAAAUCCCAUGUACCCACGUCCCAUAUCCCACAUCCUACAUCCCACAUCCCAUAUACCCACGUCCCGUAUCCCAAAUCCCACAUACCCACAUCCCAUAUCCCAAAUCCCACAUACCCACGUCCCAUAUCCCAAAUCCCAUAUCCCAAAUCCCAUAUCCCAAAUCCCAUAUACCCACAUCCCAUAUCCCAAAUCCCAUAUACCCGCAUCCCACACCCCAAAUCCCAUAUACCCGCACCCCGUAUCCCAUUUCCCCUAUCCCCUAUCCCAUAUCCCCAAUCCUAUAUCCCCUCUAUCCUAUAUUCCCUAUUCCACAUUCCAUAUCCCACAUCCCUAUAUCCUAUAUCCCAUAUACCUGCGUCCCGUAUCCCCUAUCCUCUAUCCCCUACCCCAUAACCCCUAUCCCAUAUCUGCUAUCCCACAUCCCUAUAUCCUAUAUCCCCAUCUCAUAUCCCCAUCCCAUAUCCCAAAUCCCCUAUCCCACAUCCCACACAUCCCCAUAUCCCAUAUCCCACACCCUACAUCCCCCAUCCCAUACCCAAAUCCCAUAUCUCAUAUCCUAUAUCCCCUAUCCCAUAUUCCAUGUCCCACAUCCCCAUAUCCUAUAUCACAUAUCUCCAUGUCCAUAUCCCAAAUCCCAUAUUCCUUCCCCACACUCCCAAAUCCCCCCAAAUCAGCCCCCAUAUCCCCCCACAUCCCCCCAUAUUCCCCCCAUAUCCCCCC
rnacentral:lncRNA from 1 species